UAGGGAAUCUUCCACAAUGGACGCAAGUCUGAUGGAGCAACGCCGCGUGAGUGAAGAAGGUUUUCGGAUCGUAAAGCUCUGUUGUUGGUGAAGAAGGAUAGAGGUAGUAACUGGCCUUUAUUUGACGGUAAUCAACCAGAAAGUCACGGCUAACUACGUGCCAGCAGCCGCGGUAAUACGUAGGUGGCAAGCGUUGUCCGGAUUUAUUGGGCGUAAAGCGAGCGCAGGCGGAAGAAUAAGUCUGAUGUGAAAGCCCUCGGCUUAACCGAGGAACUGCAUCGGAAACUGUUUUUCUUGAGUGCAUAAGAGGAGAGUGGAAUUCCAUGUGUAGCGGUGGAAUGCGUAGAUAUAUGGAAGAACACCAGUGGCGAAGGCGACUCUCUGGUCUGCAACUGACGCUGAGGCUAGAAAGCAUGGGUAGCGAACAGG
rnacentral:rRNA from 1 species